rnacentral:rRNA from 1 species
GAUCCUGGCUCAGGAUGAACGCUAGCUACAGGCUUAACACAUGCAAGUCGAGGGGCAGCAUUUUAGUUUGCUUGCAAACUAAAGAUGGCGACCGGCGCACGGGUGAGUAACACGUAUCCAACCUGCCGAUAACUCGGGGAUAGCCUUUCGAAAGAAAGAUUAAUAUCCGAUGGUAUAUUUUCUCCGCAUGGUGAGAAUAUUAAAGAAUUUCGGUUAUCGGUGGGGAUGCGUUCCAUUAGUUUGUUGGCGGGG